rnacentral:rRNA from 1 species
AUUGAACGCUGGCGGCAGGCCUAACACAUGCAAGUCGAGCGGAUGAAGGGAGCUUGCUCCUGGAUUCAGCGGCGGACGGGCGAGUAAUGCCUAGGAAUCUGCCUGGUAGUGGGGGAUAACGUCCGGAAACGGGCGCUAAUACCGCAUACGUCCUGAGGGAGAAAGUGGGGGAUCUUCGGACCUCACGCUAUCAGAUGAGCCUAGGUCGGAUUAGCUAGUUGGUGGGGUAAAGGCCUACCAAGGCGACGAUCCGUAACUGCUCUGAGAGGAUGACCAGUCACACUGGAACUGAGACACGGUCCAGACUCCUACGGGAGGCAGCAGUGGGGAAUAUUGGGCAAUGGGCGAAAGCCUGAUCCAGCCAUGCCGCGUGUGUGAAGAAGGUCUUCGGAUUGUAAAGCACUUUAAGUUGGGAGGAAGGGCAGUAAGUUAAUACCUUGCUGUUUUGACGUUACCAACAGAAUAAGCACCGGCUAACUUCGUG